rnacentral:rRNA from 1 species
GACGAACGCUGGCGGCGUGCUUAACACAUGCAAGUCGAGCGAGCGGCGGACGGGUGAGUAAUGUCUGGGAAACUGCCUGAUGGAGGGGGAUAACUACUGGAAACGGUAGCUAAUACCGCAUACCAUCAGAUGUGCCCAGAUGGGAUUAGCUAGUAGGUUGGGUAACGGCUCACCUAGGCGACGAUCCCUAGCUGGUCUGAGAGGAUGACCAGCCACACUGGAACUGAGAAACGGUCCAGCCUCCGACGGGAGGCAGCAGGGGGGAAUAUUGCACAAUGGGCGCAAGCCUGAUGCAGCCAUGCCGCGUGUGUGAAGAAGGUCUUCGGGUUGUAAAGCACUUUCAGCGGGGAGGCGUUACCCGCAGAAGAAGCACCAGCUAACUCCGUGCCAGCAGCCGCGGUAAUAC